rnacentral:misc_RNA from 1 species
AAACCUAAUAGGAAUAUGAAAUUACUAAGUAGGAACUUUAGAUAAACUAAAUACAAUAAAAUAUCCUAAAUAAAAUUGAAAGCAAUCUAAAUCCUAGUAGGAGAUUUCCUAAUUAACUCUAAUCUAAUCUCUAUAGUUACUAGAAGUCUUCACAAGACAUUAUAGGUGAAUUAGGAUUGUUGAAGAUGAAAAUUAACUUAAAAAAAAUGUUGCUACCUUUUGUCCAGAGAAUCUCACAGCUGGUUGUGGAAAAUCUUAUACUUGGGUGUGGGAUUUGUUGUUCUAAAAAUCAACUUUGCUCAAACUUGAUAAAAAUUGUUAUUUUUCACUCUUUUUACGCUAACAUGCUUCCAUUGUUGCUUGACUUACUUUUUCUCUUAAAAACAUCCUGCAUCAUACUCCCCUACUUGAAAAAGAACCUCGUCCUCGAGUUGAAAUAACUUGCAACGAUCCAACGAUAUAGCCAAAACAACUCCAGCACCA